CAGUCGCCGCGGGAACACGAAGGGGGCUAGCGUUGUUCGGAAUUACUGGGCGUAAAGCGCACGUAGGCGGAUCGAUCAGUCAGGGGUGAAAUCCCAGGGCUCAACCCUGGAACUGCCUUUGAUACUGUCGAUCUGGAGUAUGGAAGAGGUGAGUGGAACUCCGAGUGUAGAGGUGAAAUUCGUAGAUAUUCGGAGGAACACCAGUGGCGAAGGCGACUACCUGGUCUGGCAUUGACGCUCAUGUGCGAAAGCGUGGGGAGCAAACAGGAUUAGAUACCCCAGUAGUCCCUGUCUCUUAUAC
rnacentral:rRNA from 1 species